GACGAACGCUGGCGGCGUGCUUAACACAUGCAAGUCGAACGGAAAGGCCCUGCUUUUGUGGGGUGCUCGAGUGGCGAACGGGUGAGUAACACGUGAGUAACCUGCCCUUGACUUUGGGAUAACUUCAGGAAACUGGGGCUAAUACCGGAUAGGAGCUCCUGCUGCAUGGUGGGGGUUGGAAAGUUUCGGCGGUUGGGGAUGGACUCGCGGCUUAUCAGCUUGUUGGUGGGGUAGUGGCUUACCAAGGCUUUGACGGGUAGCCGGCCUGAGAGGGUGACCGGCCACAUGGGGACUGGGAAACGGCCCGGACUCCUCGGGAGGCAGCAGUGGGGAAUAUUGCACAAUGGGCGGAAGCCUGAUGCAGCAACGCCGCGUGCGGGAUGACGGCCUUCGGGUUGUAAACCGCUUUCGCCUGUGACGAAGCGUGAGUGACGGUAAUGGGUAAAGAAGCACCGGCUAACUACGUG
rnacentral:rRNA from 1 species